CACUUUAAAAAGAGGAGCAGCGCCUUAGUGGCUGUCUCCCUCCUGCCUCUGUACGGCAUUGAGUAGGCACCUUUAGCCGCUCCACUUCCGCCACCUGGUUGUUCGCUUUGCGCUCUGCUCAGCCUGCCAUCGUGCAGCUAGCUGCCAGCCUCCUUCCUUGCGCCACCUGGCUACGCACCUCGCUUUCUGCAGCUCAGCAUGUGGGAAACCCUUAUUAUUGUGUCGUGGGGAAACAUAAUCUGCAGGCUGUUAUGGCGGCAUCAUCAGCUGUGACGCUCCUCCCUCCCUCCCUUCCUUCCUGUGACCAAACAGCUCUCUUACCGGUAUGUAGCUCUACACAUUAGCAAUACACAUGUUAUGGCCUCUCAGCAAUUUAAUAACUUGUAAUGUCAUGGCAGAUUCCUGAGGUGGACAACAACUCCGUGAUUGGCUGCACAGGACCGCUGCUGCUUUUGUCUUACUUUGUUUCAGCGUGUGUUUGGUACUGCAUCUGACCGUGCUAACGUUAGCAUACCCUCCGGUGGCUAACUUAAACACCCACAAUAUACCCAGGUCUUCUGGUGUAGGAGCCCUUCUGGGCGCCAGAUUGUUUAGAGUUCUUUUAUGAAUUUUAUUUAUAUAUUUUUUUUUUAUCAUUUUGUCUUUGUUUUCAUUGGCUGGCUUGUAUUUUUUUUUUAAGCUUAGUUUGUUGUGGACAAAUUUAAGUUUCUUCUUGUGGACUGUUUCAUUUGAUGGAUUCCUGUUAAUUGUUUUGUUUUUCAGUUGCUGGGCAGCGGUGGUGGUGUAGGGGCCCAGGGUAUUGGAGCCUGUUCUUUGGUGUUGUGUUUCACCCCUGCAGGAUUGGACCUUCACAGUGUGAGUGAGUGUGGAUGUGUGUUACGUGUGACUGGGGUGCUUAUAUUUUCUUUUAGGGGUCAUCACUGCUGGUGUCUCCUCCUCCGUCCCACCGGUUUGAGAGUCUCUCCUUGCCGUCCUGUAGGGGUUGCCACACAUUUUUGUUCCUCCAACCGACCCCAUGUGGGUGGUCCUUAGCCUGUGAUGAAUCAGCGUUAUAUGAUUGGCUGCAAAGUGAAGUAGGCGGUUAUAAGCGGGUGUCUGCUCAUGUUGCGUUCAAGGUUGUUAUGUAAAAUUCUUAUAGUGUAUGUGGAUGCCAAACAAUAAAUCAGUGUUCCAUCAUGCUGUCCAAAUACAUGCAAAUACUUUGGUUUUAUCAAUUACACAACUAUAAAAAGAUCAGUUUUUUUUUUUAUCAUAUACAAGGACAUUUUCUAUGCCAGCCAUAGAAAAUGGAGAAAGUGAAGUGAGGUAGGAAACAAAGAUGUGUGAGCAGGUGCCGAGAGUGAAAGAAGACAUAGGGUGGACAGAGACAAAGUGAAAGACAAAGAUAUGAGGCAGGUGCAGAGAUGUGAAGUGAGAACAUAAUCGGAUGGGUGUGAGAAACAGGGAACUGUGAACUGAGAUAAACAGAUGCCAGAACAACUAAUCAAAGACUAAAUAUUAACAGAAAGCAAAACUGAUGACAAUGAUUAUCAAAUUAAACAAGUGAUAACCUAAUGAAAACUACAUGAGCAUAAAUAGAAAUAAAUACUAAACAGAAGCUGACUAAGAAAACAAGGUGCUAAGAAAAGCAGAGACAAAACAAGAGAACAAAACCUGACAUUAAAGUGCAACAGAUGUUAUAAAUGAGAACCUAAAUAACCAAGUGAUAAAUUAAUGAACAAUAAAUGAAAGCACAACUGACUGAAGAAAACGAGAACAGAAAUGAAAGGCAAAAGUGACAGCAUAACAGGAUAAACCAGGAUGAAAAUACAGUAUUAACUCAAAGCUGGAGUAGAUAUAGAACCACAGAAAGGCGAAAAAAAAUGGGCUCAACGCCCUAAUCAGGACAAAACCAUGACACGUCUGAGAGGAGUCUCUUCACCCAAUAUUAACGAUCAGAUGAUGAAGGUAAAACCUCUUGAAUCAUUCUAAACUUGGUUUGAAGUAGAAAUAAGGCAAUUUUAAGCAGAAACUUGGCGAGACUCCGUGACUCUUUGAAAUGACCAACACGCAGUGAACGCAUCAGCUAGCUGUUCAUUUAGCCGCAGCACUCUCAUUGCUUCAUCUGUCUUUUAUGAUGAAACAGUGCUGAAUUUAUGUGGAAAUGAUUGUUGUACAAAAGCUUUAGUUGUCUGUUGCUGAGAUAGAUGAUGACUGGAGGCAGUUUGAAGCAGAAACAAAGUGAUGAUCUGUGAUUGCGCAUAUA